rnacentral:piRNA from 1 species
UGGUCUUCCUUGACAUUCUUUUGUCCUAAGG